GUCCACGCCGUAAACGAUGAUAACUAGCUGUCCGGGUACUUGGUACUUGGGUGGCGCAGCUAACGCAUUAAGUUAUCCGCCUGGGGAGUACGGUCGCAAGAUUAAAACUCAAAGGAAUUGACGGGGGCCUGCACAAGCGGUGGAGCAUGUGGUUUAAUUCGAAGCAACGCGCAGAACCUUACCAGCGUUUGACAUCCCGCGCUACAACCAGAGAUGGUUGGUUCCCUUCGGGGACGCGGUGACAGGUGCUGCAUGGCUGUCGU
rnacentral:rRNA from 1 species